AUCAGGUGAUGGUCAGGUGGUCGUUAAACUGCCUCUCUGAAAUAAUAGUUGGGUCACAGCUGGUGCCAGGGAAAGGUAGUCUCCCAAUAGAUAGAAACACCAGGAACGGAUGAUCAGCAGCUUCCAGAUAAGAUCUCAGGAAAUGGGCUCUUGUUCCAGAGGACUGAAUAGAUCUUCAAGUCCUUGCAUACUGUCAAGCAUUUACAUCAGGGCCCUCACUGCCUUGGAUGCACUUGGAGAAUUUUAGCUGCAACAGGAUGCAAAAAGUUCAAGCCAAGGGUACAGGCUACUAUAUGAAACUCUACCUACACCUGGAGGACACUCUCCACAUUUGCUACCUGAACCAAGAUAAAAACAAAGCAAGACACAAACCAACUUCUUGCUUAUACUUCUCAUGCACAUCUUGCAAUAUCUUCAUAGUAGGGGAUGAUCCAGGCUUCUUAAGGCCUGAUGUGCAUGCAAUGUGG
rnacentral:lncRNA from 1 species